rnacentral:rRNA from 1 species
CGAGUUUGAUCCUGGCUCAGGAUAAACGCUAGCGGCAGGCCUAACACAUGCAAGUCGAGGGGCAGCGUGACGGGUAGCAAUACCUGUUGACGGCGACCGGCGCACGGGUGCGUAACGCGUAUGUAACCUACCGUUCACAGGGGGAUAGUCAGAGGAAACUUUGAAUAAUACCGCAUAAAACAGGGGUCCGGCAUCGGAAUAUUUGUUAAAGGUGGCGACACGGUGAACGAUGGGCAUGCGUUCGAUUAGAUAGUUGGAGAGGUAACGG